UGAGGAAUAUUGCACAAUGGGCGAAAGCCUGAUGCAGCGACACCGCGUGAAGGAUGAAGGUCUUAGGAUUGUAAACUUCUGUUAAGUGGGAAAAAAGAACCGUCUCGAAUAAAGACGGGUGAUGAUGGUACCACUAGAGAAAGCACCGGCUAACUUCGUGCCAGCAGCCGCGGUAAUACGAGGGGUGCAAACGUUAUUCGGAAUUACUGGGUGUAAAGGGUGUGUAGACGGCAUUUUAAGUCAAUUGUUAAAUUCCCUAGCUUAACUGGGGGCAGGCAAUUGAAACUAAUUUGCUAGAGGAUGGAAGAGAGAAGUGAAAUUCUCGGAGUAGCGGUAAAAUGCGUAGAUCUCGAGAGGAACACCGAUGGCGAAGGCAGCUUCUUGGUCCAUAUCUGACGUUGAGACACGAAAGCGUGGGGAGCAAACAGG
rnacentral:rRNA from 1 species